UCCCUCCCUAUGUAAACUCCUUACAGCUGGAACAGAUGCAAAAAUCCAGAGCCUUCCAAGCCAAGCUCCUGCAGAAGACAGAAGGCCUGGAAGCUGAGCUAGAUGCUUCAGGAGCAGAGGAUCUAUCAACUGCAGACCAAGCUAGGGAGCUGCCGACAAACCUGGAACACUAACCUGGCCAGCUCCGGGAGCGCCGACAGCAAUUGGUGGCCCAGCAGUGGGCAGCAGGAGGAAAUGUGCCGUGGCCACGAGGCAAGAAAUCGACUCUGACCUGCUCAUUGACACCUGGUUAAAAACAAAGACUCAGCUGGAAGAGACCGAAUUGGAGACAUCAACUUCCAAGCGCAGACCCUGAGAG